CCCUUAGAGUUUGAUCCUGGCUCAGAUUGAACGCUGGCGGCAGGCCUAACACAUGCAAGUCGAACGGUAACAGGAAGCAGCUUGCUGCUUCGCUGACGAGUGGCGGACGGGUGAGUAAUGUCUGGGAAACUGCCUGAUGGAGGGGGAUAACUACUGGAAACGGUAGCUAAUACCACAUAACGUCGCAAGACCAAAGAGGGGGACCUUCGGGCCUCUUACCAUCGGAUGUGCCCAGAUGGGAUUAGCUAGUAGGUGGGGUAACGGCUCACCUAGGCGACGAUCCCUAGCUGGUCUGAGAGGAUGACCAGCCACACUGGAACUGAGACACGGUCCAGACUCCUACGGGAGGCAGCAGUGGGGAAUAUUGCACAAUGGGCGCAAGCCUGAUGCAGCCAUGCCGCGUGUAUGAAGAAGGCCUUCGGGUUGUAAAGUACUUUCAGCGGGGAGGAAGGCGAUAAGGUUAAUAACCUUGUCGAUUGACGUUACCCGCAGAAGAAGCACCGGCAACUCUG
rnacentral:rRNA from 1 species